rnacentral:rRNA from 1 species
AGUUCGAUUAUGGCUCAGAUUGAACGCUGGCGGGAUGCUUGCCACAUGCAAGUCGAACGGCAGCACGGACUUCGGUCUGGUGGCGAGUGGCGAACGGGUGAGUAAUGUAAUGGAACGUGCUCUAGUAGCGGGGGAUAACUACGCGAAAGCGUAGCCAAUACCGCAUACGUCUCUUUCGGGGAAAGCGGGGGACCUUUCGGGCCUCGCACUAUUAGAGCGGCCGAUAUCGAUUAGCUAGUUGGUGGGUAACGGCUCACCAAGGCGACGAUCCGUAGCUGGUUUGAGGACGACCAGCCACACUGGGACUGAGACACGGCCCAGACUCCUACGGGAGGCAGCAGUGGGGAAACUUUGGACAAUGGGGGAAACCCUGGAUCCAGCCAUCCUGGCGUGUGUGCGAUGAAGGCCUUCGGGUUGUAAAGCACUUUUGGCAGGAAGAAAACGGUACGGGAUAAUAUCUCAGUAACUGAUUUGGGUACCUGCAGAAUAAGCACCGGCUAACUACGCCAGCAGCUAUGGUAAUACGUAGGGUGCAAGUGUUAAUCGAACUACUGGGUAGCGUGCGCAGGCGUCUGGAAAGAAAGAUGUGAAAUCCCAGAGCUUAACUUUGGAACUGCAUUUUUAACUACCGAGCUAGAGUGUGUCAGAGGGAGGUGGAAUUCCGCGUGUAGCAGUGAAAUGCGUAGAUAUGCGGAGGAACACCGAUGGCGAAGGCAGCCUCCCGGGAUAACACUGACGCUCAUGCACGAAAGCGUGGGGAGGUAAACAGGAUUAGAUACCCUGGUGUCCACGCCUCUAAACGAUGUCAACUAGCUGGGGGCUUCGGCCUUGUAGCGCAGCCAACGCGUAGUUGACCGCCUGGGGAGUACGGUCGCAAGAUUAAACUCAAAGGAAUUGACGGGGACCCGCACAAGUGUAGGAUGAUGUGGAUUAAUUCGAUGCAACGCGAAAACCUUACCCACCCUUUGACAUGUUCGGAAUCCCGGAAGAGAUUUGGGAGGCUCGCAAGAGAACCGGAACACAGGUGCUGCAUGGCUGUCGUCAGCUCGUGUCGUGAGAUGCUGGGUUAAGUCCCGCAACGAGCGCAACCUUGUCAUUAGUUGCUACGAGCGGGCACUCUAAUGAGACUGCCGGUGACAAACCGGAGGAAGGUGGGGAUGACGUCAAGUCCUCAUGGCUCCAGGGCAGCUUCACACGCCGCUGCGGCUCGGUCGGCUGAGGUCGCCAACCGCGAGGGGAGCGACCUGAACCUGACUGGGUCCGGAUCGCCCAGGCACCCUGAUCGUGAAGUCGGAACUGCUGGCAAUCGCGGAUCAGCAUGUCGUGGUGAAUAUUGCCCUUGGGGUCUUGUACACACUGCCCGUCACACCAUGGAGUGGGUUUUACCAGAAGUAGUUAGCCUAACCGUAAGGAGGGCGAUUACCACGGUAGGAUUCAUGACUGGGGUGAAGUCGUACAAGGUAG